GCCGAGGCUUGGAAGGAGGGCCUGCCUGGUCUGUUGGCCCAUACCAGGCUUCCUUAGCGCCUCUGCUAGGAGCCAGUUAUCCUGUAGGCUGACUCAGCCUCUGCCCAGCCAUGCUCUGAAGCUGCUCUCUGCUGUUUUAAGCUGAGCACUGCAACCAGGGACCUCAGACACCAGAGACAAUGCAGGCCUCCAGAAAGCAGGAGAAGGACUUCUACAUCAAGGCUGGCAGGAGGAAUGGGAAAUGGGCAUUCAAGGACAUGGCAGUAUGCUAGGCUCUGUACAUCAGGACCUCAUGGAAACCAGAAAGCCCGAGGUCUUGGAAUCCUGAACAGUGUUCCAGGUAGCCAAAACUGGUCUGCAGAAUGAAGCUGAUGUGCACAAAGAUAUUCUGCCUUCAACGGAGGUGUGAGGAUCAGCUCCGUCUGGGUCAUGCCUGCAGUCCAGCUUCUCUCCUCUCCCAAAAUGACUCCGAUUUGGUGCUCAGCCUUGUGAUCACAGAUUGCCAAUAAAC
rnacentral:lncRNA from 1 species